rnacentral:rRNA from 1 species
GGAGGCAGCAGUGGGGAAUAUUGGACAAUGGGCGCAAGCCUGAUCCAGCCAUGCCGCGUGAGUGAUGAAGGCCUUAGGGUUGUAAAGCUCUUUCAACGGUGAAGAUAAUGACGGUAACCGUAGAAGAAGCCCCGGCUAACUUCGUGCCAGCAGCCGCGGUAAUACGAAGGGGGCUAGCGUUGUUCGGAAUUACUGGGCGUAAAGCGCACGCAGGCGGUUUGUUAAGCUAGAUGUGAAAGCCCCGGGCUCAACCUGGGAAUAGCAUUUAGAACUGGCAGACUAGAGUCUUGGAGAGGGGAGUGGAAUUUCUGGUGUAGCGGUGAAAUGCGUAGAUAUCAGAAGGAACAUCAGUGGCGAAGGCGACUCCCUGGCCAAAGACUGACGCUCAUGUGCGAAAGUGUGGGUAGCGAACAGGAUUAGAUACCCUGGUAGUCCACACCGUAAACGCUGUCUACUAGCUGUUUGUGGAUUUAAUCCGUGGGUAGCGAAGCUAACGCGAUAAGUAGACCGCCUGGGGAGUACGGCCGCAAGGUUAAAACUCAAAUGAAUUGACGGGGGCCCGCACAAGCGGUGGAGCAUGUGGUUUAAUUCGAUUCAACGCGAAGAACCUUACCUACUCUUGACAUACUAGAAACUUUUCAGAGAUGAAUUGGUGCCUUCGGGAAUCUAGAUACAGGUGCUGCAUGGCUGUCGUCAGCUCGUGUCGUGAGAUGUUGGGUUAAGUCCCGCAACGAGCGCAACCCU